GAUGAAGAACGCAGCGACAUGCGAUAAGUAAUGUGAAUUGCAGAAUUCAGUGAAUCAUCGAGUUUUUGAACGCAUAUUGCGCCCUCUGGUAUUCCGGGGGGCAUGCCUGUUCGAGCGUCAUUAAAUAACCCUCAAGCAUAGCUUGGUGUUGGGCUUUUUUACGUCCUUGACUGGGAUGGGCCUAAAAAUUAGUGGCGAUGGCUUUUUUACUUUCAAGCGUAGUAAAUCUCGUCUUGCUAAAGAGGAAAAAGAUUUUUUUUCUGCCAAAAAUUUUAACAUUUAAAGUUGACCUCGGAUCAGGUAGGAUUACCCGCUGAACUUAAGCAUAUCAAUAAGCGGAGGA
rnacentral:misc_RNA from 1 species